UGGGGUGUGACUCAGAGGAAGAGCCUGUGCUGAGCACACACAAGGUCCUGGGUUCCAUCCCCAGCACCACAA
rnacentral:tRNA from 1 species